rnacentral:rRNA from 1 species
UACGUAGGGGCCGAGCGUUGUCCGGAGUUAUUGGGCGUAAAGCGCGCGCAGGCGGCCUCGCGCGCCCGACGUGAAAGCCCCCGGCUUAACCGGGGAGAGUCGUUGGGGACGGCGGGGCUUGAGGGCGGGAGAGGUCGGUGGAAUUCCCGGUGUAGUGGUGAAAUGCGUAGAGAUCGGGAGGAACACCUGUGGCGAAGGCGGCCGACUGGGCCGACCCUGACGCUGAGGCGCGAAGGCGUGGGGAGCGAACAGG